AUUGAACGCUGGCGGCAGGCCUAACACAUGCAAGUCGAGCGGAUGAAGGGAGCUUGCUCCUGGAUUCAGCGGCGGACGGGUGAGUAAUGCCUAGGAAUCUGCCUGGUAGUGGGGGAUAACGUCCGGAAACGGGCGCUAAUACCGCAUACGUCCUGAGGGAGAAAGUGGGGGAUCUUCGGACCUCACGCUAUCAGAUGAGCCUAGGUCGGAUUAGCUAGUUGGUGGGGUAAAGGCCUACCAAGGCGACGAUCCGUAACUGGUCUGAGAGGAUGAUCAGUCACACUGGAACUGAGACACGGUCCAGACUCCUACGGGAGGCAGCAGUGGGGAAUGUUGGACAAUGGGCGAAAGCCUGAUCCAGCCAUGCCGCGUGUGUGAAGAAGGUCUUCGGAUUGUAAAGCACUUUAAGUUGGGAGGAAGGGCAGUAAGUUAAUACCCUGCUGUUUUGACGUUACCAACAGAAUAAGCACCGGCUAACUUCGUG
rnacentral:rRNA from 1 species